rnacentral:rRNA from 1 species
AUUGAACGCUGGCGGCAGGCCUAACACAUGCAAGUCGAACGAGUGGCGGACGGGUGAGAAAUGUCUGGGAAACUGCCAGAAGGAGGGGGAUAACUAAUGGAAACGGUAGCAAAUCCCGCAUACCAUCAGCUGUUCGCAAGUGGCAUUCGGUUGUUGGUGGGGUAACGGCUCACCAAGGCGACGAUCCCUAGCUGGUCGUAGAGGGUGACCAGCCACACUGGAACUGAGACACGGUCCAGACUCCUACGGGAGGCAGCAGUGGGGAAUAUUGCGCAAUGGGCGCAAGCCUGAUGCAGCCAUGCCGCGUGUAUGAUGAAGGCCUUCGGGUUGUAAAGUACUUUCAGCGGGGAGGCGUUACCCGCAGAAGAAGCACCGGCUAACUCCGUGCCAGCAGCCGCGGUAAUAC